GCAAAUGAAAACGGGUCUGGAAUGUGAAGCGUAGUCUUGCAGUCAAAAUACGGCAGUGGGGUCUUUUGUCGUCGACGUCACCAGUGGAUCUUAUUCAGUUAAAUAAAGGCGGCUGCAAGGAUUUGGCAUGGCCCCUUAGAUCCUGGGGAACUUUUACAGCUGCUCCAUUGAGAGCAUCCUCCUGACUGGUAGUAUCACCGUCUGGUCUGGUAUGGAAACUGCGCCACCCUUGACCAGAAAGCCCUACAGAGGGUGGUGCACACAGCCCUGCGCAUCACUGCGGGAGUUCAAUCAACCAGAUGAUGAACUGCUAGAGCUCUUCAGACUCUUCCUCUGAAGUCCAACGCCAAACACACCAGCGUCUGGGGACAACAGUCCAUUUUUAUUAAAGUGCUUAAGCAAUUAACAUGGCGCCCAUAAUGGAGGGCAGGCAUACAGUCCUGUGUCUCUACGAGCCCAUCCGGGAACUGUGCCUAAUCAGCCUUUAUCAACCCACGGGGAGGGCCCCAGGGUUUAUGUACAAGAGCCACGCCCCUCGGUGGGCCCAGCCCUGUAAUGACCAAGACCAGGGAGAUGUAGAUCCCAUAGCAGCCAAAAGAAGAAGCCAGUCUUCUGAGUCCGCAGGCGAACUCCUCAACUGCUGCCAGGCAACAAAUGAGGCUGUAGCUGAGCUCUGCUGGCUAGCUGCGGAGCACCACCAGUUGCUGGCUGAUCUCCUAUCUCUGUGUGGAGACUGCGCUGACAGAGUCAGGAUGGGUAAUCAGGAUGGGAAGCUCCAGGAUCACAGGGAGGGUUGUGGGAGCUUCUCAGGACAGGUCCUCAGCAGCAGCAAUGCUCAACAUGCUCGCUCUAUGUCUCUGAGGCACGAUAGAGCCUCCUCACUGGGCAGGAAGCUGAAGAAGCUGGGGGGAAAGAAGUUAAACAGUGCAGAGGAGUUCCUGCACAGCAAGAUGAAGAAGAAAGUAGGGAUAGGGAGCACUGCAGUAGAGUCUUUAUUUUUUCA
ensembl:lncRNA